rnacentral:lncRNA from 1 species
UGAUGUCCUCCAGUUGCAGUACCAGGCAAGCUGUCCCAGAGUUCAUGGAGCGGAAAGGCUCGAGAAGCAACUGAGGAUGCUCAAAUCACAGUCAACCUCACCCACUCAGGUGUGACCACGAGGACCAGAGCCGAGGUCUGGGCAAGAGUGCUCACAGCUUAAGGGCUUAUGACACACACCGGCUCAACGGGACAGACAUGGGACAAGUGUGCCUGAUCAUGGUGGCGUUGCCAAGAAGCAGCUGUCGCACUGCCAUGGGUUCUACGUGUUUCUUGGGCAGAGGACGCAUGGGACCAGAAUGGGCACCAGGAAUGGUGGUGAACAAAGGCCCCAUGGUUCUGCAUGUUUAGGUGUCUCUUGUAUAAAGGCACAUUGUGAAUUGAACAUUUAGUGCCCAGGAGCCUCAUGCAUAUUAAGUAUCUCUUGGCCCUUGUGUCUCUUCCUUCCCACAUGUAACAUACCUGUUCUCUGUAACUAUCUAUUCUGAACGUAUCUAAAAACCAUGUCUUGCCUGUGUUAUACAAACCACAUGCAUACUCACGUUC